UACGAAGGGGGCUAGCGUUGUUCGGAAUUACUGGGCGUAAAGCGUGCGCAGGCGGUUUUGUAAGCCAGAUGUGAAAUCCCCGGGCUUAACCUGGGAAUGGCAUUUGGGACUGCAAGGCUGGAGUUUGGCAGAGGAGACUGGAAUUCCUGGUGUAGCAGUGAAAUGCGUAGAUAUCAGGAGGAACACCGAUGGCGAAGGCAGGUCUCUGGGCUGAAACUGACGCUCAUGCACGAAAGCGUGGGGAGCAAACAGG
rnacentral:rRNA from 1 species